rnacentral:rRNA from 1 species
UACGGGGGGGAGCAAGCGUUGUUCGGAUUUACUGGGCGUAAAGGGCGCGUAGGCGGUCAGCACAAGUCACUUGUGAAAUCUCCGGGCUUAACUCGGAACGGUCAAGUGAUACUGUCGUGCUAGAGUACAGAAGGGGCAACUGGAAUUCUCGGUGUAGCGGUGAAAUGCGCAGAUAUCGGGAGGAACACCAAUGGCGAAGGCAGCACUCUGGGACGGUACUGACGCUGAGACGCGAAAGCGUGGGGAGCAAACAGGG